CUGGAUAGCCUCAGAGAUUUCAGAUGGAUUUUUCUCUCUGAUGUCAGCUCUGAACAAUCAGUAAUGGCUGCCUGGAACACUGUCUUGAGAAAUGGCUUGAAGGCCACAUUUGGGAAGAAUGCUGUGAUUGAUUAUUUAUGUCUGCCAAGGGCUUAGAAAUGAUGAGUGAGGUAUACUUGCUACCUUUUAGCUGGAAGUAGCACAGCCAAUUCCCCCUGGCUUACAGCUGGAGCAUGCCUGUAAGAUGUUGGUGGAGGAGCUUACUCAUUCAUGUAUUCAUGUAUUCAGCAUUUCCAGAACAGCCUCCAUGGAGACAGCACUACUGCACUGGAGAGAGAAAGGGUGCCAUAGGAAAAAGUUCCAAGGAAUCUCAGAGCUAUUUUACAGACCCAAUAAUGCUUUGGCACUUCAUUUAGAUUCAAAUCAGCAAACAACCCCCAGGAAGUAAAAAUUAUUAUCAUCCCAAAUUUGCAGACUAGAAAACUGAGUCUUAUCUCCAUUUUGGUAACACUUGCUUUAAUAAUCCCUGCUGUAAUAAUUGUCACGUCCUCAAAUGCACAGUCUUGCACAUCCUUCACUGAAGGCCUAGAAAAGGAUGAGAUAAUGCAAGUACAAAAUCAUUUGCCCUCUUUGUCAUUUAACAGCAGCCCUCCUGACACAUUGGCCAGCCCUCAGCCGAGCUCUGAGUGUUUCCUAAACUGAAGGAAUGCAUGUUCGGUGAGUUGGCCCAUAUUUUAUCUCCCUACAAAAUAGCUAUUUAAAUAUCCCUCGAGUAUGCACUUUCUGAAUCAUUAAGGUCUCAGGGUGCAUCAAUUACACUAAUUUGGGAAAGUGAUCACAUUCAUGCAGGGCUGUUAUUUUUAAAGAAAAGACAUUUCAGUGUAUUGAUGGGGAAUCCGUGUCCGGAGUAUAUAGAUUUCCAGUUAUCCCCUGUCAUGGCAAGAGUCCAUCGGUUUCCUUUAAGAAAUGAAGAACACAUUAUGCCUGGUAUUAACAAAGAUCAAUUUCAGUAAAGGAAGACAUCCAACACAAGGGAGUUAAACAGAGCUGGGAAUAAAUGACGUAAUGUUUGAAGCAAUAAGGGAUAAGUCAUGCUGGGACUCCAAGUUCUUGUAUAAGUGAUGAUUAAAUGGACUUUUUGUCCCUGCCUUUUGCUAAAGGUGAUAUUUCUUUACUGUAAAGUAUAAUGUAUCUAUUUUGGCAUCGUCAGUGAAGUAUGCAGUUAAUAAUUGGGCUUCUUAAAGAUUUCAGAAUUCUUUGGUCUUAAUGUGAAGGGAGGGCCUUAUCUUUACUGCUAACUCAUUUCUGUUCUUCAAACCGAAGCGACAGUCUUUUAUAAGAAUUUGGCUUUGGGUGUUAUCUUUCAAGAAAACAGUAUUCCAAACUUCAAUACAGUGAAUAGAGUCAAACAGACACCAUGAGAAUAAUAUGGGAGAUUUUGGAAAUAGAGUAAAGAUAAACUCUCUGCCGAGAUGAGAGAUGCAAUGAAAGAAAAGGAAAUGAUGAGGUGAAUAGGAACAACACUGGUGCAGGAUUUCUCUCAGCGUCUCUUAAAAAAAAAAAAAUGACAACGACAACUAAACCAGACUUUUUCUUUUUCUUUUGGGGUCCAUGAAAGCUAUUUAACAAUUUAAGUCUAUUCAUAUGUUUAAAGCUGGAAGAGACCUCAGAUAUUUCAAGAUGAGAAAGCCCAGGGAGGUAGUGUGACUUACAGAGGAUCACAGUGUCCCUGUCUCCUGGCUGGUAGCCAUUUCUUGGUAGCUAAAUUUUCAUUUUUAAGAGGAAAAUUCCGUUAAAACAAAACAAAACAUUGUCCCAAUUUUUUGAAUUCUGUUUUUGAUGGUGGUAUUGACUUUUGAACAUGCACCAGAAAAUGAGCACUUUGAUUGGAUGCCAGGAAUGUUAACUUGGAACUAAGCAGAAUGCUGAGAUUCUGAUUCCGUGUUGCUUGAGGACUGGCACUUGUGACAUCUCUAGCUCAGACACAGGGUCAUGGAGGAGACAAGAUCUAACCAGGAGAAAAGAACAAAGAACCUCAUCUAAAAAAAAAAGAAAAUGUCCAUUUCAUCAUUUUUUCCAGGCUAACCUCUAGGUCUAUUUGAUGCAUUUCCUUGGCCCGUCCAUCUGUGUUCCCUGUCUGGGGUAUGUUUUCAGGCCUCUGAGGAUACAUUUCACCCUGGAAGUGGACACAAGCAAUCAGAGUUCAAGUCAAAUCAGUCAACCGACAUUGAUUGACUGCCUACUAUGUUCCCAGAUGUGGUGGGUUCUGAGGAUGCAGGGAUGAACAAGACACAAUCCCUGCUUCAAGGACUUGCACACAGUUGAUGGACAAGGAAGGAGGCCACUGAGUGAAAGGGGAGAGUGCAGAUCCAUUCUACAUAUAGCCACCUCUGCUUUGGAAGCAGAACUGAAGCAUGCUGCUGUGAAUUUUAUAAACAAUUCGCCAAGGUGUACACGGUUGUCACCUAUGGACCUUGUGCUGACAUAAAUUGGGGCUCUACACGUGGCAUCUUUCACUUCAGUGUAGUGUGAAAUAUGCCCUGUUGGGACAUUGAUGGAAUACAGUACCCGAUUUUAACUAAACUAACUCUCAGAAAAUGAACACUUGGCUUUAAAAGUUUCCUGCCAAGAAAUAGCAGUUGGAAGAUUUAUGCGGACAGACAAUGUGGAAAUGGCCCAGCUGACCAUGAGCCCAGCACGUAAAUGGGCUCUGGGUCAGCCAUGCUGCGAGGUGCAGCAGUGGUGAUCUGAUCACUUCUGACGAGACGUCAGCCAAAUGAAAAACAUGGAAACGAUGAUUCUUUGAAAUACAUGUUUACAUCCACUGUCA